GACGAACGCUGGCGGCGUGCCUAAUACAUGCAAGUUGAGCGCUGAAGGUUGGUACUUGUACCAACUGGAUGAGCAGCGAACGGGUGAGUAACGCGUGGGGAAUCCGCCUUUGAGCGGGGGACAACAUUUGGAAACGAAUGCUAAUACCGCAUAAAAACUUUAAACACAAGUUUUAAGUUUGAAAGAUGCAAUUGCAUCACUCAAAGAUGAUCCCGCGUUGUAUUAGCUAGUUGGUGAGGUAAAGGCUCACCAAGGCGAUGAUACAUAGCCGACCUGAGAGGGUGAUCGGCCACAUUGGGACUGAGACACGGCCCAAACUCCUACGGGAGGCAGCAGGAGGGAAUCUUCGGCAAUGGACGAAAGUCUGACCGAGCAACGCCGCGUGAGGGAAGAAGGGUUUCGGAUCGUAAAACUCGGUUGGUAGAGAAGAACGUUGGUGAGAGUGGAAAGCUCAUCAAGUGACGGUAACUACCCAGAAAGGGACGGCUAACUACGUG
rnacentral:rRNA from 1 species